rnacentral:rRNA from 1 species
GAGAUGGAUUGGUGCCUUCGGGAACUGUGAGACAGGUGCUGCAUGGCUGUCGUCAGCUCGUGUUGUGAAAUGUUGGGUUAAGUCCCGCAACGAGCGCAACCCUUAUCCUUUGUUGCCAGCGGUCCGGACGGGAACUCAAAGGAGACUGCCAGUGAUAAACUGGAGGAAGGUGGGGAUGACGUCAAGUCAUCAUGGCCCUUACGACCAGGGCUACACACGUGCUACAAUGGCAUAUACAAAGAGAAGCGACCUCGC